GCCAUGUGCCAAUCAAUAGGGAGGAGUUGGAUCUAUGCUCUCAGAUUCAGCAAUUAGUUAUUCAGAUAAUUAAUUAGCAAAUUGCAGAAGCUAUCCACUUGUAUGUACUAGUUAAUUAAUUGCCCUCCAAAUUUAAAUUAAUAGUUAUGAUAAGCUGGUUACCUUUUGAUUUCUUCAUCUUAUCUAAAUAAAAUAAUUUUUAAGUUCCACUAAUUGGCAGAUUUUUUUUUUAAAAAAUAGCAAAUAGUGACUUCAGCAAAUAAUAUGGUUAUCAACUUAUAAUUAAUUUUGGCUUAAUGGUUAUAGCAAUUAUUACUUUAUUCUCAGAUAUUUUCAAGACAAGUAUAUUUUACUAAAACUUUGAUAUAACCCUAAAUUGCAUUGCUAAAUUAUUUCAUAAUUCUUGUAUAUAUGGAUAGUAUAUGUACAUGUAACAUGCAUAUUAAUUAGUUAACUUUGGUAAGGAAAUUCAAAGACCUAGAAUAAAAAUUAGAGAGAUAU
rnacentral:lncRNA from 1 species